rnacentral:rRNA from 1 species
GACGAACGCUGGCGGCGUGCUUAACACAUGCAAGUCGAACGGAAAGGCCCUGCUUUUGUGGGGUGCUCGAGUGGCGAACGGGUGAGUAACACGUGAGUAACCUGCCCUUGACUUUGGGAUAACUUCAGGAAACUGGGGCUAAUACCGGCUAGGAGCUCCUGCUGCAUGGUGGGGGUUGGAAAGUUUCGGCGGUUGGGGAUGGACUCGCGGCUUAUCAGCUUGUUGGUGGGGUAGUGGCUUACCAAGGCUUUGACGGGUAGCCGGCCUGAGAGGGUGACCGGCCACAUUGGGACUGAGAUACGGCCCAGACUCGUACGGGAGGCAGCAGUGGGGAAUAUUGCACAAUGGGCGGAAGCCUGAUGCAGCAACGCCGCGUGCGGGAUGACGGCCUUCGGGUUGUAAACCGCUUUCGCCUGUGACGAAGCGUGAGUGACGGUAAUGGGUAAAGAAGCACCGGCUAACUACGUG